CCGCGUCAUCCGGGAGCGCCGCCGGGGCGGGAGCAGGGAAGCGCCGGGCGCGGGGAGGGCGGCCGGGCUGCCCGCGGGGCCGGCCUCGCCAUGGCCCGCCAGCUCAUCGGGCCCGCGCUGCCGCCCGGCUUCCCGCGCCGCGCCGAGGCCGAGCCGGGCGAGGACUUCAGCCAGGUUGCAGGACCAGCACUGCCUCCAGACUACAAAAGCAGCUGUAGCUCAGAAACUCCCGACAGUGAUGACGACUCAGAAUCUCUUCCUCUACCCAGAGACACAAACAGAGAUUCUGAAGAGGAGACAGAAGGAGAUCCAGCACCCAAAAAGCCAAAAAGAAUUCAUGAAGACGAUGAUGAUGAUGGCUUUUUUGGGCCAGCUCUUCCUCCUGGAUUUAAAAAACAGGAUGAUUCUCCUGAGAGGCCCAUUAUAGGUCCUGCGUUACCACCUGGCUUUAGGAAAGCUUCAGAGGACACCAGAAGUAGCAGAUGUUUCAUAGGACCAUCUGUUUCAUCAGAAUCCCGUCCCCAGCUGACAGAUAGUAGUGAGGACGAAGACAAUUUAAUAGGCCCAAUGCCUGCAAAAGGACCAGUGGAGUCUGAUGUGGCUAAAGAGUUUGAACGCCGAGCUCAGAGAAUGAAAGAAAAGCUUACUUCAGCAGACAGUGAUGAACCCAAACAAGUUACCAGGGAAUCGUGGAUGACAGAGCUUCCACCUGAGUUGAAAAGCUUUGGAUUUGGCCCAAGAACAUUCAAGAGACGUGCUGAUGACAAAUCAGGUGAUAGAUCUAUUUGGACAGAUACUCCAGCUGACAGAGAGAGAAAAGCCAAGGAAAGAGAAGAGGCAAAAAAGUCAAGCAGUAAGGAUAAUGAAGAAAUGGUACUAUCUGGGAGGGACAAGAGGCUUAUUGAGCAGGUGACUUCAUACAAUGAGUCAAAGAGGUCAGAGUCUCUCAUGGACAUGCACCAGAAAAAGCUGAAGAGCAAAGCAUCCGAAGAAAAGAGCAAACCUCAGGAAAGAAGGCCGUUUGACCGAGAGCAGGAUCUCAAAGUCAACCGCUUUGAUGAAGCACAAAAGAAAGCUCUUAUAAGAAAAUCCAGAGAUCUGAAUAGUAAAUUUGAGCACAGUAAAGGCAACAUGUUUUUAUAAGAUGAAAGCAUUAAGCUUUUUUGAAGUGAAGUCCAUAAAAAUUUGAAUACUUAAUUUUUACCAGAGCAGCUCUUCAGUAAGGAAGGAAAUAAAUCUGACAUUUAAAAAAGUCUACAUUCGUGUUGAGAGUUCUUUACCUCUUCUGAGGUAACAAAGCAGCAGAAGUGGUUGUUAAACCUUGCAGUGGGCUGCUCAAGAAGUCAGUGCAGUCAGCAUCCCUGAAGGUGUUCAAGAAACAGCUGGAUAUGGCACUUGAUGCUUUGGUCUACACCAUGGUAAUCAGUCAAAGGCUAGAGUCAAUGAUUUAGAAAUCUUUUCCAACCUAAAUGAUUCUGUGAUUCUGUGUUAAUUAUUUAAAAUUAGACCUGUGCUUUUGCCCUUUGUCUCAAAUGCUUACAAUCCUUCUUAAGCAGUUACUGAAAGUACUUAUAGAUGAAAACAAUUUUAUAUAUGAGAUGCUGGUAAUUUGUUUGGAGGUAUAAAUACUGUGGGGUUUGCCAUAAUUUGGAAAAAAUUCCUGUAAUUUGGAAAAAGGCUACCCUGAGAGGUGGUGUCUGGGUUACUUCAUGUUUAAUCAAGCAGUGACUUAACAAGUUCCAGAAACGAAUAUUUAAAAACUUGGCCUUAUUUUAUUGCAUUUGUGUGUGAGCUGGAGACACAGGCUUCAUGUGCUGAGAAGUCUUGCAGUGUUUCUGAUGUUGCAAAUGACUGCUUACGUGGAAUGCAUUUAGAUACCGCUUUUUUUUCUAACGGACAAUUUAUUUUGCCAGCUGAAAACCCUCCUACCUUCUGGAGAAAGAGAGAUUGAUUUUGUAUUGUGUUUGCUUUUUAUCACUUCAGUUCCUGAGCCUUCUGUUUUGAGGUGAGAGGAGGGUUUAAAUAAGGGCUCUUUAUUUUUCUUCUCCUGAUACAGACUUCUCUUGCCUCAUGCUUUUUUAACUCAGCAAUCAAGGCCUCAUUAAGGUUCUACUUUCUGAGCAAAUGUAGAUUUCAUUAUUGGAAAAGCAGUAUUAGAAAUGUCUGGGACUUUUUUAGGCAACUAAAGCGAUGACAGGGUGAGCACGGUAUGACUAGCUAAUCUUCACAGCUGAGAAAAAAUUACUUGAUGAGCACAUCAUGCAGUCUUUGCUCAUUCAAAGUCUGGAGCAAGGAUGAGGGCUGCUUGUAUAAAAAAUGUUGUUGUUGUUGUUCUGUGCUCUGUUUUGAUUUUUGUCCUUUGGCCCCUCCUCCAAACUGAGGACCAGUCAUCAGAUAUCACAGAUGGCCAGAUCCAGUUGGCUCCCUGCUGUUUGUCUCUGCCCUGCCUGGCCCCAUCGUGGUCUCCUGCCCUGCCCAAGGCCAUGCCUGAGAGGAAGCUCUGCAGCAUUGCUCAAGAGGAGAGCUCUCAUAACAGGAGUGCAGCAGCCCCUUUGCCAUCCUGCACUAUUCAUCUGUGGGACACGUGGUUCUAAUUAAUGAAGCCUUGGAGCGAGCUGGGAACUUGGUUUUGACUCUUCUUUUUUUCCCCCACUCUGCGGCAGCUUCUUAAAGACUUGAUGAUAUCAGUGUUAUGAGCUUGAGGUGGGGGCAAGUGGAGUUGUUGAGAGUUCAAGUUAAGCUUUUCAUUACUUUGUGUAAAUUGCAUGAACCUUUGAACUGAAUUCAUACACAAACUCAUCUCUUACUCAUGCCAAGCCAUCUCCUCAAGUAGUCAUUAGAACAAGCAGUAACUCAGUAAAUUACAAGUUCUGUAAGGUUUCAUGGGAAAAGAUGAGACAUCUACAAUUUGGAAAAGUUGUAAAGCUUUUCUGCUGCAAUGUUAGGAGGUGUUUUUUUCAGAAUCUCAUUUGAGAAACCAGAAUCUAUUUCACAAAGAAUCUUCACCAUAAUUACUAUGCAGUGUUUCUGGUAACCAGCUCCCAACACAGAUUUAAUGUAUGCUGUUGCUAUUCUGCAGUGCCAGCCCAAGUCACACCAUACUGACUCCAGGCAUAUCAGGAAAUCCUGUUUUAUAGAAAGAAAAUGUCAGAGAGGUUUUCCUGAAUGUGAAAAGUCUACCAGCCUAGAUUUCAGUGUGCUUGCCUUUGAUUUGGGCUGCCAUAGGUGUUCUCUAUUUAUACUGAUGUUGAACAUUCCUGCUCAAGAGUGAGGUCUCCUCUUCUGAAAUGUUAAAUAGGUGUGUAAUUCAUAGUAUAGUCAGCAAAAAGAAGGUUUUUGUGGUAGGCGUAUAAUAAAUUGGGUGCUUAAAAGGAGUUUUAAGGAACAUUAUAUGUUAACAACAAAAAAGAAAGGGAAAAAACCAAAAAACAAUUGUUGAGUUUGCUGUUACCAAUGAACAAUUAAAAGCAAUAAAGACAUUUCAAGAAAA